CUUCUAUAGUGCCUGCAUGUUAGAGACUCUUCUUAUUUUUUUUUAGUUACUUAAGUGGCAAUACUCGAGUGUCAAGCACCCUGGGAUAAAAUAAACCUGACUCAUCUCUAAAGAGAGGAAGGAGAGGAGAAGCCUGGUGGAAGGAAAAACUCCAAGAGAAAGUAGCCAUGAGUUCAUAAUACCCAGACCUGAAAUAUCUUUGGAAAAUGCAAGAGGAGUGUGUUUACCAACAAAGGCAAAAAGGAAAAGGCAGAGAGGCAGUGGAGAACUUGUUGUCACCAACCAGCUCUUCAUUUUUUGUGGAGAAAGCUUCAAGUGUGAAGGAGCACUAACCCAGAAGAAAGAGCAAUCAAAUGUGCUAAAAAGCACUGCUUUCCACUUGCAAAAAGUCCUGUUUAGUACAUGUUUAUGAAACUCGUCUCAGAUGUUCUAAAAAUAGCCUUGCAGGAGCAAGUCAGCUCCCUCCAGGAAGCCCUACACGUUCCUAGCAUAGAAGCGCAGCUUAAUCCUGAUUUUCACAAAAAGAACAAUUAUUUUUAGUGCUUUUAAAAACAGACUUUAGUUGCCCGGUGCUGAUUUGUCAAAACAAAACAUGAAAGAUGUGUCACUUCACAGGAAUGUGGCACAAGUUGAUGGGUUCCGAAUGUCCAGAACGUCUGACAGUAAUGUGGUGGUUCAGAUGUGUCAGGAGGUGUUAAGAUAAAGAUUUCAGGCAAGGCUUGUGGGGCAACAAUAAGAUGAAAAAAAGGGUCUAAGGAGCAUCCUGACGGCGAUGAAGAGAGAGACAGAGGAAAGGGACGUCCUAGGGAGCAGUGUUGAAAGAACAUAAGAACAAGUAAGAACACAACCAAAGCAUAAUGACUUCUUCUGGCUGCGGUGCCAGAUAUCCUCAACAAGAGAAAUGUUGCACAGCUAGUUGGACAGUUAUAAGGAAUAUGAUUUGGUAUGGUUAUGUCAUUACAGAAGUCCAGUUAAACUUGGUCCUAGUG
rnacentral:lncRNA from 1 species